GCGCAAGUGGCGGAACGGCAGACGCGCUACAUUCAGGGUGUAGUAUCCUUACGGGUGUGAGAGUUCAAAUCUCUCCUUGCGCA
rfam:Chloroflexi bacterium 54-19 SCNpilot_cont_500_bf_scaffold_42, whole genome shotgun sequence.